CCUCACUGGCAGCGGGGCCGGGCCCGUCCCUGCCCUGCCCUGCCCGUGAGCUCUGCGAGGUGCAGGGCCGUCCUCGGGAGCCCCGCACGCUGCCAGCACCGCCGCACCUUUGUUUGGGCCCGGGGAGACUAUGUGAAUGGAAUCAGAAGCAGAGGAUGGGGAGGAUGCCUGCACUGUGCAGCGGAAUGUGGGAGAGCACACGAUUGCCGUGGAAACCAGCUAUAGUAAAUGGAGCUCUUCAGCUGCAGGGGAGGAUUUAUACCACCAGGCUGGGAGCAGGCAAUUUAAAUCAGCCAUCCGCAGACACUGCAUACCUGUCUGAUCCUGAGGGCAAUGGUUAAACACAGCUUACCCGGAUCCACCAUGGGGCCGGGGGCUCACCAGCUGCCACAGAACUGCACAGACGUAAGGAAUUUGCCUUAUUGCCAUCUCUAGUAAUGACGCUCCGAAACUCCUAACUCACUGGGUUUGGGGUGAUUGGAUUUAAGUUUGCAGCUCAGUAUGCAGCCAGGUGUAUUUGUAUCAUUAAACGUAAUGUAUCAAAGACUGUACGCUCUGUCAUUGUGCUUCACUGUGCUUUUUGUUCUCGAGUUACUUCGUUCUGCUUCAGCCUUCCAGCAAAGCAUCAAAGAGCCCCCGAGAACAGCAAGAUUCCAGCCUCCUCCUUCAGGAGAAGUUUGAUGCUGAAAACCCCGGCGGUCCAACCAAAAUACAAAGCCAGGAUCUGGGUCCUCCCGUCCCACAUUUGUCGCUGCUGUGUCUUUGUGAGAGUGUUGCCCACGCAGCAGACGCUGCCCAACGAGAGCUCCUGUUUCCCUUUGCAGUUUUCUCUCUCCAGUGCUGUCCCCGUUGUACAACCGCUGCCAUGCAGCAGAGCUGAUCUGCAGUCCUGGUAGGGAUCCCAUGACAGUGGACUGCAGGAAGCUGCAGUCUGUAGGCUGUGCAGCCUGGUAGAGAGGUGGUAAGUUUUUAGAGACCUAACCACGUGAACAGACAUUAAUAUUCAUUCAAUCCCUUAGGCCACAUGGGCUGCUAAUCACAUCGCGUGAUCGAUACCACGAGUGGCACGUCAACCACAACGCUGAGAUUUGCCAGCCUGGGAAAAAUAUCAAACAUCAAGAGAUAGAACUCAUCGAUACGUCAAAUAGAAAGAGUGACUUUACAGGUGACAGAGCCAGAUUGCCUAAUUGGAGUCCUGACGUGAAGCAAAUGCUCUCACUCAAUGUAUGCUGCCUCAGACCAAGAACUUGUGCCUGAACUGCAGCAUAUUUAAACACCACUGUCCUGGAUACCAGCUAAUGGAGAAUGUGCUAGAUUCCUAAUAAGGUGGUUGUUUUAUUGUUUAAUUACCUCCAUUUCAGCAUCACACCUUAUUGCUAGUCUGAAAUGGCUUGACUGCAAACCCUGGCUGCGUCAAUCUCCACGAGAUUUAGAAGCCUUCCUUCUGUUGCCAGAAAUUUCAUUGUCUACAAAGUUGAUUGUCACCUAUGAUUAAGCCACACCUUAAAAUUUUCUUAAGCAGUUAAAUCAAUUAACUCGCUUCGUUUUGCAUCGCUCCCGUAGCUGAUAGUUGCAUUCCCAGUACUGAGAGCCUUCCCACUGCUCCUUCAUUUUAGCACACGCGUUCUCAUCUUCCUUCAGCUGAGCUGUCCAUGUGGUGAUGUUUGGCUGUGUGCAACACCCGCUCCAAAGCAUCCCUCUCUGCAGAGCAAAC